AGAGUUUGAUCCUGGCUCAGGGCGAACGCUGGCGGUGUGCUUCACACAUGCAAGUCGAGCGAAUGAAGAAGGUAGCUUGCUACUUUUGGAUUUAGCGGCGGACGGGUGAGUAAUAUAUAGGAAUCUGCCCUAGAGCGGGGAACAACAGACCGAAAGGUUUGCUAAUGCCCCAUAGGUACGCAGUCUUCGGAUUGUUUAUUAAAGGAGUAAUCCACUCUAGGAUGAGCCUGUAUCCGAUUAGCUAGUUGGCGGGGUAAAGGCCCACCAAGGCUACGAUCGGUAGUUGGUCUGAGAGGAUGAUCAGCCACAAUGGGACUGAGACACGGCCCAUACUCCUACGGGAGGCAGCAGUGGGGAAUUUUACACAAUGGGGGAAACCCUGAUGUAGCGACACCGCGUGAACGAAGAAGCCUUUUGGGGUGUAAAGUUCUGUCGGCUGGAACGAAAAAAAUGACGGUACCAGCAAAGGAAGCAUCGGCUAACUACGUGCCAGCAGCCGCGGUAAGACGUAGGAUGCAAGCGUUGUCCGGAUUUAUUGGGCGUAAAGAGUUCGUAGGCGGUUAUUUAAGUCUGGUGUUAAAUACUGUGGCCCAACCACAGAACUGCAUUGGAUACUGGAUGACUUGAGUGCGGUAGAGGCGAGUGGAAUUCCCAGUGUAGCGGUGAAAUGCGUAGA
rnacentral:rRNA from 1 species